rnacentral:rRNA from 1 species
ACAGCAGCAGCCACGGUAAUACGUAGGUGGCAAGCGUUGUCCGGAAUUAUUGGGCGUAAAGGGCUCGCAGGCGGUUUCUUAAGUCUGAUGUGAAGGCCCCCGGCUCAACCGGGGAGGGUCAUUGGAAACUGGGAAACUUGAGUGCAGAAGAGGAGAGUGGAAUUCCACGUGUAGCGGUGAAAUGCGUAGAGAUGUGGAGGAACACCAGUGGCGAAGGCGACUCUCUGGUCUGUAACUGACGCUGAGGAGCGAAAGCGUGGGGAGCGAACAGGAUUAGAUACCCCAGUAGUCCCUGUCUCUUAUAC